rnacentral:ncRNA from 1 species
UUCCUGGUUCUUUUUAGAACCACCAAUAUAUUUAAAAAAGAACUAG